rfam:Corchorus olitorius cultivar O-4 contig05319, whole genome shotgun sequence.
GGCAUGCGGGACAUUAGCUAGUUGGCGGGGUAACGGCCCACCAAGGCGACGAUGUCUAGGGGAUCUGAGAGGAUGACCCCCACACUGGUACUGAGACACGGACCAGACUCCUACGGGAGGCAGCAGUAAGGAAUAUUGGUCAAUGGGCGCAAGCCUGAACCAGCCAUGCCGCGUGCAGGAAGACGGCCCUACGGGUUGUAAACUGCUUUUGUACCGGAAUAAACCUUCUCUCGUGAGAGAAGCUGAAUGUACGGUAAGAAUAAGGAUCGGCUAACUCCGUGCCAGCAGCCGCGGUAAUACGGAGGAUCCAAGCGUUAUCCGGAUUUAUUGGGUUUAAAGGGUGCGUAGGUGGCCUAUUAAGUCAGGGGUGAAAGACGGUAGCUUAACUAUCGCAGUGCCUUUGAUACUGAUGGGCUUGAAUACAGUUGAAGUAGGCGGAAUGUGACAAGUAGCGGUGAAAUGCAUAGAUAUGUCACAGAACACCGAUUGCGAAGGCAGCUUACUAAAGUGUGAUUGACACUGAGGCACGAAAGCGUGGGGAUCAAACAGGAUUAGAUACCCUGGUAGUCCACGCCCUAAACGAUGAAUACUCGAUGUUGGCGAUAUACGGUCAGCGUCUAAGCGAAAGCGUUAAGUAUUCCACCUGGGGAGUACGCCCGCAAGGGUGAAACUCAAAGGAAUUGACGGGGGCCCGCACAAGCGGAGGAGCAUGUGGUUUAAUUCGAUGAUACGCGAGGAACCUUACCCGGGCUUGAAAGUUAGUGAAUGAUCCAGAGACGAAUCAGUCCUUCGGGACACGAAACUAGGUGCUGCAUGGCUGUCGUCAGCUCGUGCCGUGAGGUGUUGGGUUAAGUCCCGCAACGAGCGCAACCCCGUAUGUUUAGUUGCCAGCAUUUAAGGUGGGGACUCUAAACAGACUGCCUACGCAAGUAGAGAGGAAGGAGGGGACGACGUCAAGUCAUCAUGGCCCUUACGUCCGGGGCUACACACGUGCUACAAUGG